UACGAGGGGGGCAAGCGUUGUUCGGGAUUAUUGGGCGUAAAGGGCGCGUAGGCGGUGCGGUAAGUCACCUGUGAAAACUCUGGGCUCAACUCAGAGCCUGCAGGCGAAACUGCCGUGCUUGAGUGUGGGAGAGGUGCGUGGAAUUCCCGGUGUAGCGGUGAAGUGCGUAGAUAUCGGGAGGAACACCUGUGGCGAAAGCGGCGCACUGGACCACAACUGACGCUGAGGCGCGAAAGCUAGGGGAGCAAACAGG
rnacentral:rRNA from 1 species